UACGAAGGGGGCUAGCGUUGCUCGGAAUCACUGGGCGUAAAGGGUGCGUAGGCGGGUCUUUAAGUCAGGGGUGAAAUCCUGGAGCUCAACUCCAGAACUGCCUUUGAUACUGAAGAUCUUGAGUCCGGGAGAGGUGAGUGGAACUGCGAGUGUAGAGGUGAAAUUCGUAGAUAUUCGCAAGAACACCAGUGGCAAAGGCGGCUCACUGGCCCGGUACUGACGCUGAGGCACGAAAGCGUGGGGAGCAAACAGG
rnacentral:rRNA from 1 species